UACGGGGGGGGCAAGCGUUGUUCGGAAUUACUGGGCGUAAAGGGCUCGUAGGCGGCCAACUAAGUCGGACGUGAAAUCCCUCGGCUUAACCGGGGAACUGCGUCCGAUACUGGAUGGCUUGAGUAUGGGAGAGGGAUGCGGAAUUCCAGGUGUAGCGGUGAAAUGCGUAGAUAUCUGGAGGAACACCGGUGGCGAAGGCGGCAUCCUGGACCAACAUUGACGCUGAGGAGCGAAAGCGUGGGGAGCGAUCCGG
rnacentral:rRNA from 1 species